CACGUAAGUUGCGAGCGUUGUUCGGAAUUACUGGGUGUAAAGGGAGCGCAGGCGGGAUUGCAAGUCAGGUGUGAAAUGCAGGGGCUCAACCCCUGAGCUGCACUUGAAACUGUAGUUCUUGAGUGGAGUAGAGGUAAGCGGAAUUCCUAGUGUAGCGGUGAAAUGCGUAGAUAUUAGGAGGAACAUCAGUGGCGAAGGCGGCUUACUGGGCUUUAACUGACGCUGAGGCUCGAAAGCGUGGGGAGCAAAC
rnacentral:rRNA from 1 species